rnacentral:rRNA from 1 species
CUAGCCUACUAAAUAGUUUGCCGAUCCCGCUUGCGUCGGUGCUAACUUUUUAGAGGGACAAGUGGCGUUUAGCCACCCGAGAUUGACAAAUUACAGGUUUGUGAUGGCCUUAGAUGUCCGGGGCCGCACGCGCGCUACAUUGGAAGAAUCAGCGUGGAUGCUUCCCUGGCCCGAAAGCGUUGGGACACCCGUUGAAUUUCCUUGCUGAUAGGGAUUGGGGCUUGAAAUUCUUCCCCCUGAACGAGGAAUUCCCAGUAAGCGGGAGUCAUAAGCUCGCGUGGAUUACGUCCCUGCCCUUUGUCCACACCGCCCGUCGUUACUACGGAUUGAACGGUUUAGUGAGGGCCUCGGAAUUGGUUUCGGCCCGCCUUUAACCGGGGGCCGCCGUGGGUAGAGAAGACGCUCGAACUUGCUCGUUUAGAGGAAGUAAAAGUGGUAACAAGGUUUCGGUAGGUGAACCUGCGGAAGGAUCAUUAA